AGCAGCCGCGGUAAUUCCAGCUCCAAUAGCGUAUAUUAAAGUUGUUGCAGUUAAAAAGCUCGUAGUUGAAUUUCGGGAUUAGUACGUUGGUCGUGCCUUCGGUACGUACUGGUGUUACUGAUUCCUACCUUCUGACGAACCAUCAUGUCAUUAAUUUGGUGUGGCGGGGAAUCAGGACUGUUACUUUGAAAAAAUUAGAGUGUUUAAAGCAGGCUCGCGCUUGAAUACAUUAGCAUGGAAUAAUGAAAUAGGACGUUGACCCUAUUUUGUUGGUUUCUAGGAUUGACGUAAUGAUUAAUAGGGAUAGUUGGGGGCAUUAGUAUCCAAUUGUCAGAGGUGAAAUUCUUGGAUUUAUUGAAGACUAACUACUGCGAAAGCAUUUGCCAAGGAUGUUUUCAUUAAUCAAGAACGAAAGUUAGGGGAUCGAAGACGAUCAGAUACCGUCGUAGUCUUAACCAUAAACUAUGCCGACUAGGGAUCGGAUGAUGUUAUUUUUAAUGACUCAUUCGGCGCCUUACG
rnacentral:rRNA from 1 species